UACGGAGGAUCCAAGCGUUAUCCGGAUUUAUUGGGUUUAAAGGGUGCGUAGGCGGCUUAUUAAGUCAGGGGUGAAAGACGGUGGCUCAACCAUCGCAGUGCCCUUGAUACUGAUGAGCUUGAAUACACUUGAGGUAGGCGGAAUGUGACAAGUAGCGGUGAAAUGCAUAGAUAUGUCACAGAACACCAAUUGCGAAGGCAGCUUACUAAGGUGCAAUGACGCUGAGGCACGAAAGCGUGGGGAUCAAACAGG
rnacentral:rRNA from 1 species